rnacentral:rRNA from 1 species
UACGGAGGGAGCAAGCGUUACUCGGAAUUACUGGGCGUAAAGCGAGCGUAGUCGGUUAUUUAAGUCGGGUGUGAAAGCCCCGGGCUCAACCUGGGAAUUGCAUUCGAUACUGGAUAGCUAGAGUUCGGCAGAGGGAAGCGGAAUUUCCGGUGUAGCGGUGAAAUGCGUAGAUAUCGGAAGGAACAUCAGUGGCGAAAGCGGCUUCCUGGACCAGAACUGACGAUCAGGCUCGAAAGCGUGGGGAGCAAACAGG